AGUGAACGCUGGCGGCAGGCCUAACACAUGCAAGUCGAACGGCAGCACGAGAGAGCUUGCUCUCUUGGUGGCGAGUGGCGGACGGGUGAGGAAUGCAUCGGAAUCUGCCCAUUUGUGGGGGAUAACCUCGGGAAACCGGGACUAAUACCGCAUACGACCUUCGGGUGAAAGCAGGGGAUCUUCGGACCUUGCGCAGAUGGACGAGCCGAUGCCGGAUUAGCUAGUUGGCGGGGUAAAGGCCCACCAAGGCGACGAUCCGUAGCUGGUCUGAGAGGAUGAUCAGCCACACUGGGACUGAGACACGGCCCAGACUCCUACGGGAGGCAGCAGUGGGGAAUAUUGGACAAUGGGCGAAAGCCUGAUCCAGCCAUGCCGCGUGGGUGAAGAAGGCCUUCGGGUUGUAAAGCCCUUUUGUUGGGAAAGAAAACUUUCCGGUUAAUACCCGGAGAGAAUGACGGUACCCAAAAAAUAAGCACCGGCUAACUUCGUGCCAGCCGCCGCAGUAA
rnacentral:rRNA from 1 species